rnacentral:rRNA from 1 species
UACGUAGGGGGCAAGCGUUGUCCGGAAUCAUUGGGCGUAAAGCGCGUGUAGGCGGUUUGAUAAGUCCGUUCUGAAAGCCCAGGGCUCAACCCUGGGAGGCGGAUGGAUACUGUCAAGCUAGAGUCCGGAAGAGGCGAGUGGAAUUCCCGGUGUAGCGGUGAAAUGCGCAGAUAUCGGGAGGAACACCAAUGGCGAAGGCAGCUCGCUGGGACGUGACUGACGCUGAGACGCGAAAGCGUGGGGAGCAAACAGG